UCAGGGCAAGAGAUUAGCAGGAGAUUAGCAGCCAGACAGACCCAGAAGAUUUUCAGUAUCAUCCUGUCUAUUUUGAAGGACUCUCCUGCAACUCCCCACUGUCUCAUGCUGCAGAAGGCACAGGAGUGAAGAAUAAAUGCUGGCAAAAGAAAGGAAAACUGGAAGAAACAGCCUGGUAAGCACCAUCCAGAGAAAAUCCCAUGCACUGAGAACUGGAAAAUUGCUCAGCACUCCCGAGAUUUUCUGGUGACAUCAGCAGACACCAUCAGCCGUGCUGAAAGUGACCAUGUUCCCAUUAAGCUGCUUCUGAAAGGCUUCUGGGAUCUCUGGAGCUGUAUCUGUGUAUCUGGCCAUGUAACACUGAAAAUACUUCAAGAGAAGCUUGAAGAAUGGUGUCACCUGGAGUAAUUGCAGAGUCAGGUAUCUGGCAUCAGUGUACAAUUUGUCUGAGGAAAAUGGAACACUAUUUUCAAAGAUUAUAAUAGUAUCUUGCAGUUUACCUGUGA